UUUUUUUUUGUUUGAAAAGAAAAAAAACAUAAACUAUGAAGAAAGAAAAAAAGAAAUGGGGAAGAAGACACAAGGUAUAGACUAGAGAGAGAGAGAGAGAAAUAGUUAGUUAAAAAUUAAAAUACGUAACGUGACUAAAUCUGGACUUGUUGUUGUUGUUGUUGUUGUUGUUAUAGCUAAACUACGAGAUUGCCAUAAGAAAAGAACAGCUGUUUACAAUAAGAAGGCGAGAGCCUGUGGGAUGCCAGGGAACACUUCCGGAUUUGUUUUGUCCGAUUUUUAGCUAAAUUUACUGUAUUAUCCUUCCUUUUACCCGCCUUGUUUCUUUGAUGAUUAAUUUAUUUUUUCAAACGGUAGCUAACGACUAAAGCAAUGUUAAAAUGCCAAUUCUCU
rnacentral:lncRNA from 1 species